CCUCUUUUGAAAACUGCCUGGCAUCACACCAACCUGCAGGUACUCUCACGAGGCAGAGUUCUCAAGCACCCAGAGAAGUAGUCAUUAUUAUGACGAUGUCCAUUUCACAGAGGAAGAACUCAGGCUGCAGAGUCUAGGUGAAGUCCCCCAAGCCAGCCUGGUGGUGACUAUGGCAUGUGCAGCCAGAGGCCUGGGCUCGUGCCUGGGCUCCCAUUCCAGCUGCAGUGUAACUGAGUGGCCUUGGGCAAGCAACUGCCUUGCAGUGCAGUAGAUGACAUCGGCUGCAGCCUUCUGUGCAGAUGGAGUGAUAAGCCUUAUGGCACUUUUGAAACCUGACCUGCCUCAGGGAUGCCCCUUGGGAGGGACCUGGAAGGGCCUCUGCACUCCCCUGUGCUGUCUGAAGGCUCAAGCUGUCACCCUGGGUAGAGUGCCGUGGCAUCACAACUCACAGCAACCUCCAACUCCUGGGCUGAAGCGAUUCUCCUGCCUCUG